CUUAAAUUGAAGAGUUUGAUCAUGGCUCAGAUUGAACGCUGGCGGCAGGCCUAACACAGGC
rnacentral:rRNA from 1 species